rnacentral:misc_RNA from 1 species
AUCGGCUCGUUCCUUGCAUGUUUCUUCUGUCCUCGCCACCCCUCCCUCGAUGAUGCCGGGGCGCCUAACCGUCGUGUCACAGGGCCCGGCACCCCGCUCUUCGAUGUCGACGGAGAUAGGCGGGAAGAGAUGCAUUACGAGCCGAUCGCACGGCGCACGCGUGCGACGCAUGCGGCAUUGCAUCUCCUCCAUCCGACCGUGCGAGCCGAUGAGGUGCAGGCGCCGGAAGUGUGACGCGAGCACCCCCGAAGGGCCGCGCCGAGUCCUCCAGGCUCCAGUGGGGAGAGCCUCCAAGUCAUAUUCUAGGAUGCCGCAGCUGGAGGCAGCUCAGGGCGGAGCAUGGCACACAGGCAGGGUGCAGGGUCUUCGAGGGCCCAGCCCUGAGGCUGCCCAGCAUCGUCCCUGAGCUCAUCCGGCAUAUCACCAUGGCCAUCCCCUAUCACCCGCGCGACAGACGUCGGUCGUGGGCGGUGGGUGUGCAUGCGCACAGUUAUGGGCUUGCUCCGUGGUAGAGUGCACACGCUGCGUGAGCCACAGCAAUAUCCGCUCGUCCUUCCCCCUCUCUGUGUUUCUCUGUCCUGCGAUGCUGCUGUGGCUUGGCACGCACGCACGCACGCGCGCGCGCGUUGCCGACUGAUGACUGCGUGCGCCCUCUGCGUCGCUCCCACUCCGCCUUCAACACUCACGCGCUUUUCCUUCCUCGUCUUCUCUUUGCCAUCGCACGCAUACACAUGCUGGCCCGGCCAG